GGGGCUGUAGCUCAGUUGGUUAGAGCAGGGGACUCAUAAUCCCUUGGUCCGGGGUUCGAGUCCCCGCGGCCCUA
rnacentral:tRNA from 1 species